rnacentral:rRNA from 1 species
GAUGAACGCUGGCGGCGUGCUUAACACAUGCAAGUCGAACGAAGCAUCUGCGACAGUUUUUUUCGGAAUGAAGUGGCUUAUGACUGAGUGGCGGACGGGUGAGUAACGCGUGGGUAACCUGCCUUGUACUGGGGGAUAGCAGCUGGAAACGGCUGGUAAUACCGCAUAGGCGCACAAAGUGGCAUGACAUGGUGUGAAAAAGUCCGGUGGGAUAAGAUGGACACGCGCCUGAUUAGCUAGUUGGGGAGUUCACAGCCCACCAAGGCGACGAGGAGUAGCCGAGCUGAGAGGGUGGGCGGAGACAUUGGGACUGAGACACGGCCCAGAAUCCUACGGGAGGCAGGAGUGGGGAAUAUUGCACAAUGGAGGAAACUCUGAUGCAGCGACGCCGGGUGAGUGAAGAAGUAAUUCGUUAUGUAAAGCUCUAUCAGCAGGGAAGAUAGUGACGGUACCUGACUAAGAAGCCCCGGCUAAAUACGUG